AGAGUUUGAUCCUGGCUCAGGACGAACGCUGGCGGCGUGCCUAAUACAUGCAAGUCGAGCGAAUCUUUAGGAGCUUGCUCCUGAAGAUUAGCGGCGGACGGGUGAGUAACACGUGGGCAACCUGCCUGUAAGACUGGGAUAACACCGGGAAACCGGUGCUAAUACCGGAUAAUUCUUUUUCUCUCAUGAGAGGAAGCUGA
rnacentral:rRNA from 1 species